GGAUGAUAUGGAAGAUUUUGAUGGCUUUGGUGAUGAAGAUGAUGAUGGAGAUGAAGAUGAUAUGGAAGAGCCAGUAACAAAGAAACCCAAGCGAUCAGACUCUGAUUCAAGUUCAAAGAUUGGGCGGAAAUCUAGGAAGGUUAUCACCGAGGUGGAAGAAGACGAGGACAGGGGUAGCAGGCAAAGGACACGAAUGUGAUUCUCCAGGCACGGCUUCAGUAACAUGCUUGGUGUCGAUGAUGUUGUACUUUAGAUAAUUUUGCCUGUCUUUCUCGUGACGACCGCAGCUCUCUUCUAUGUGAUGGUAGUUUAGAUGAUCGAUAUCGACUUGUAAUGUGAAGACAAACUCGCUACUCGCGGUCUCGAGACUUGUAAUGUUCUAACUUUGUUCGAUAUUUUAAAUUCGUAGAUUAACAUGAUGAAUUGUAUUCGGAGAAUAAUCUUCUAUUGUAUUCGAUAAAUCUGCUGUUUAUA